GUGGGAUUAACGUGCGGUCGAGCAUCAGGCAUGUUCAAGGGAGAGAAGGAAGACACUGGCGACGGAAGAGAAGGAAGAGAGACAGAUCGUUGAAGGAGAGAGAGACGGUGUUGAGUUGAACCUCAGAAAACACGGUGAAUAACAGGAGAAUAAAACGAGCUGAGGAUCUACCUACCUGAACAAGGUGCUCCAUAUUGAAAAGGCACCUGUCAUCUUCGAUCAUGUCUAAGGACCAGUGUGAAUCCGUAGCAGUGAGUGUCGAGUCCCUUUUAACCGACGCAGUUAAGAUGCAGUCCCAGUGUCGGGAGCGUAGUGAGCAGCUAGCUAUGGCCGCCGCGGCACUGAGGGAGGAGUCGGCGUGCUUGAGAGAACAGUGUCAAGCCACCCAGCUGGAUAUGGCCCGGAUGAGAAGACAGCUAGAAGAACUGCUGGAUACCAAGGCUCAGAUGGAGGCCAGUGAUAGAAUGCACCGCAAACUCAGCAAGACACUCUGAAUGAAAGAGAAGGAAGGGGGGAGAGAAAGGAAAGGGUGGACCGGGAUGGAGGGCGAGGAAAGGGAGAGAGAGAGAAGGAGAGAGAGAAGAAAAGAACAGCUGGAUACCAAGGCUGCGAUGGAGGCCCGGGGUGAACACACACACUUCUGAUAUGGAAAUAAGACUUUGCAGUUAAAUAAAUAAUUAUUUUAACAACA